ACUACAUUUAACAGCUGUUCAAUCGAUCUCUCAAAUUUAUCUCGUGUUUUUAAUUUAUUUUGUGUAAUUAUUGCCCAAAUCCAAUUUAAACGCUUUAUUUAAACAAUAAAAGUAAAAUAUAAUUACAGUUCAGUGUUAAAAGUGCUUAAGAUAAGUUUUCGUCGGUGCAAAACAAGUGACAGUUAGCCUGAGGAACAAACAAAAUGAAAUGCGGUGCUUCUUUACCGUGCGGAUACGGACAGCGCAAUGCGGGGAUUACUGAAUAUAAAAUAGUUACAAGCUGCUGCUGGUAGCUCGGCGACGAGUUCACGUCGUGCACGAAUUCAUUUCGCCGUCGUCGCCGUGGUCUCCGCUUCUCGCGGAAUACGAAUCUCCUAAAACUGGUACGGCUGUGCGGCCUAUAUUGUUGAAGUGAAAAUAGUGUUAAAAGAUAAUACUGUCGUGAUUAAAGAACUUGUCAAGUUAUCCAAGC